GGCGGAGGUACACGCUUCGCCUUCGCAUGGCAGAGGCCACGAGUUCGAGUCUCGUCGGAUCCA
rnacentral:tRNA from 1 species